rnacentral:lncRNA from 1 species
UUAGAAUGUGGUUAAUUUCUCCACUGAGCUAGAAGCACAUGGUUUGCAGAACAUUGGCUACAGUAAGAACAUACUCUGCAUCAGAGAGGGUUCAACAUUAACAACGUCUGUAAAAACAGAAUCACAGCUGUCAAGAAGAGGUCUGAAUUCUCUACUUCAUCUUUGUCAACAGUGCUUUCUCCAUGUACUGUGAAACACAUCCAUCUGGAUCCACCUAUUUAAGCUACAUGCCUAGCCUCCAGAGUCAUCCAGACUUUUAGCAUAAGAACUCAAAUGAGAAAUCAUGAAGAAUGCAUUAACUGAAUCCAAUAUCACCUACAGGACCCUGGGCCCAUUGCACUUUGUAAUUGUAUUACUUUUCUUCUGGUUAUCUUCAUAGGAUCUUAGGUAUACUCUCUCUGAAAAGUGUUAAAGACAACUUCUCCCUGGGCCUGAGAAUAAAUUAUCUUUUUCCUAUCGCUGUA